rnacentral:rRNA from 1 species
AGAGGAAGUAAAAGUCGUAACAAGGUUUCCGUAGGUGAACCUGCGGAAGGAUCAUUACCGAAUUGUCAAACGGGUUGUUGCUGGUCUUCAAACGGGGACACGUGCACGCUCUGUUUACACAUCCACUCACACCUGUGCACCCUCCGUAGUUCUAUGGUCUGGGGGACCCUGUCUUCCUGCCGUGGUUCUACGUCUUUACACACACUCUGUAAUAAAGUCUUAUGGAAUGUAUGCCGCGUCUAACGCAAUACAAUACAACUUUCAGCAACGGAUCUCUUGGCUCUCGCAUCGAUGAAGAACGCAGCGAAAUGCGAUAAGUAAUGUGAAUUGCAGAAUUCAGUGAAUCAUCGAAUCUUUGAACGCACCUUGCGCCCCUUGGCUAUUCCGAGGGGCAUGCCUGUUUGAGUAUCAUGAACACCUCAACUCUCAUGGUUCGCCAUGAUGAGCUUGGACUCUGGGGGUUUUGCUGGCCUGCGGUCGGCUCCCCUCAAAUGAAUCAGCCUCCCAGUGUUUGGUGGCAUCGCGGGUGUGAUAAAUAUCUACGCUCGCGGUUGUCUGCCAGGUAACCUUUGGUGACAAAGGUUUGCUGGAGCUCACAGAUGUCUCUCCUCGGCGAGGACAGCUUUUUGAACGUUCG